rnacentral:rRNA from 1 species
UAGGGAAUCUUUGGCAAUGGACGAAAGUCUGACCGAGCAACGCCGCGUGAGUGAAGAAGGUUUUCGGAUCGUAAAACUCUGUUGUUAGAGAAGAACAAGGACGUUAGUAACUGAACGUCCCCUGACGGUAUCUAACCAGAAAGCCACGGCUAACUACGUGCCAGCAGCCGCGGUAAUACGUAGGUGGCAAGCGUUGUCCGGAUUUAUUGGGCGUAAAGCGAGCGCAGGCGGUUUCUUAAGUCUGAUGUGAAAGCCCCCGGCUCAACCGGGGAGGGUCAUUGGAAACUGGGAGACUUGAGUGCAGAUGAGGAGAGUGGAAUUCCAUGUGUAGCGGUGAAAUGCGUAGAUAUAUGGAGGAACACCAGUGGCGAAGGCGGCUCUCUGGUCUGUAACUGACGCUGAGGCUCGAAAGCGUGGGGAGCAAACAGG